GUCUUAUUUAUAUAUUUGUUUACGAUCAAUUAUUUCGGACAAAAAAUUACGGACCACAACGAUCAUGUAUUUUAUACCGCCUACAAUGUUCGGUGGUACACUGCGUCUGUACAGGUACAGAAACUGAUAUUAUUUCUUUUGCAAAGAGGUAGUAAAACUGUAACUCUGAAUUUUGCCGGAGUAUUUUCACUAUCCAUCGAGCUUUUUGCAAUGCUAAUAAAGGUAUCAUUGUCCUACUUUACUGUUAUAUAUUCCAUGCAGGAGUAAUGUAAAAAAUAAA